rnacentral:tRNA from 1 species
GUCUCGGAUAGCUUAACUGGUAGAGCCUUUGGCGCGUAACUAAAUAGUCCAGGUUCGAGUCCCGAUCGGGGCG